rnacentral:rRNA from 1 species
UGGGGAAUUUUGGACAAUGGGCGAAAGCCUGAUCCAGCAAUGCCGCGUGUGUGAAGAAGGCCUUCGGGUUGUAAAGCACUUUUGUCCGGAAAGAAAUCCUUGGCUCUAAUACAGUCGGGGGAUGACGGUACCGGAAGAAUAAGCACCGGCUAACUACGUGCCAGCAGCCGCGGUAAUACGUAGGGUGCAAGCGUUAAUCGGAAUUACUGGGCGUAAAGCGUGCGCAGGCGGUUUGCUAAGACCGAUGUGAAAUCCCCGGGCUCAACCUGGGAACUGCAUUGGUGACUGGCAGGCUAGAGUAUGGCAGAGGGGGGUAGAAUUCCACGUGUAGCAGUGAAAUGCGUAGAGAUGUGGAGGAAUACCGAUGGCGAAGGCAGCCCCCUGGGCCAAUACUGACGCUCAUGCACGAAAGCGUGGGGAGCAAACAGGAUUAGAUACCCUGGUAGUCCACGCCCUAAACGAUGUCAACUAGUUGUUGGGGAUUCAUUUCCUUAGUAACGUAGCUAACGCGUGAAGUUGACCGCCUGGG